CUGGUGGACUGCAAGCAGCCCGCUGAAAUGUGACAGACUGCCGUGGCAGUGAGUGCCAUGACAAUGAGGCUUCCUUGUUCACUCUGCUAGCAAGUAAGAGAUGUUGGAAAGACACUAGCAUGUGGAAGCUCUUGCCCCCAUUCCUUGGCCAGAUUUGGGUGCUCUGCUGCACCUGCUUCUCAUACAGCUUUUGGGGAUCAUAGUGUAGACUAUCAACAGGAUUCAAAAUGUCUUUCUUUGUAUCGACCAUGGAAGGGAUUCUGAAGAGGGUAUAUUGGGACUGUUCUGAAGAACAUCCCUCUAAAACGUGUCCUGUGGCUUGCUAGAUAUCAGUUGCCUUCUUUUGUUCAGCUGAGGAACUUGAAUGCCUUACCCAAUCACUCAACUGGUAGUAAGCUCGUUUUGUAAAUGUGAAAGUGGAUGUUAGAAGUGGCAUUCAUGGAUGUUCAAUGUAAUCAAUAGACCGUAGUGGCCUGGAUGCUUUAACAAGCAAAAUUCUGCAUUUCUGCCCUCCACCCCAUCCUGUGUCCCCGGCACACUGUGUGAUCUUGAACCUGACCAGUGAUAUUUGAUGCCCUCCCUCUCCCCUGUGCUACCACCAUGUCUGGGACUGAGAUGUGGUGGCCGUGUUUUGCUGUUGACGUG
rnacentral:lncRNA from 1 species